CCUAACACAUGCAAGUCGAACGGUAACAGGAAGAAGCUUAGCUUCUUUGCUGACGAGUGGCGGACGGGUGAGUAAUAGUCUGGGAAACUAGCCUGAUGGAGGGGGAUAACUACUGGAAACGGUAGCUAAUACCGCAUAACGUCGCAAGACCAAAGAGGGGGACCUUCGGGCCUCUUGCCAUCGGAUGUGCCCAGAUGGGAUUAGCUAGUAGGUGGGGUAACGGCUCACCUAGGCGACGAUCCCUAGCUGGUCUGAGAGGAUGACCAGCCACACUGGAACUGAGACACGGUCCAGACUCCUACGGGAGGCAGCAGGGGGGAAUAUUGCACAAUGGGCGCAAGCCUGAUGCAGCCAUGCCGCGUGUAUGAAGAAGGCCUUCGGGUUGUAAGACAA
rnacentral:rRNA from 1 species